rnacentral:rRNA from 1 species
GUGCUUAACACAUGCAAGUCGAGUGCGCAGUCCCUGUAGCAAUACAGGGGCCGGCGCACGGCGCACGGGUGCGUAACACGUGGGCAAUCUGCCCUCGGAUGGGGGAUAACCCCGCGAAAGCGGGGCUAAUACCGCAUGACAUUCCGGAGACCCUGGUCUCUGGAUUCAAAGCCGUAAGGCGUCUGAGGAGGAGCCCGCGCCCGAUUAGCUUGUUGGUGAGGUAACGGCUCACCAAGGCUUUGAUCGGUAGCCGGUCUGAGAGGAUGGCCGGCCACACUGGAACUGAGACACGGUCCAG